rnacentral:rRNA from 1 species
AUGCCCGCCAAUGAGCUGUCUCGGGCGUUUGUGCUGUGCGGCUUUGUCAAAUUUCAUUUCUCCAUCCACUUUGUGCACACGGUUGGCAUGGGUAUUGUUGUGUGAGGGGGUUUCCUGAUCCUUCUUAGGACUGCUUUGGGAAUUUGUGGGCUUUCCUUGCUUCUUCCUCAUGACCAAGAAGGUACCCCCCGUUGUGACCAAUUCUGAAGGAAAUAGAUGCAUAUAAUACAACUUUCAGCAACGGAUCUCUUGGCUCUCGCAUCGAUGAAGAACGCAGCGAAAUGCGAUAAGUAAUGUGAUUUGCAGAAUUCAGUGAAUCAUCGAAUCUUUGAACGCAUCUUGCGCUCCUCGGUAUUCCAAGGAGCAUGCCUGUUUGAGUGGCAUCAAUAUCUCAACUACACCAAUUUAUGAUUGGUGUGGCUUGGAUCUGGGGGUUUAUGCAGGCUCCAGCUUUGUGGUCUGCUCCCCUGAAAUGCAUGAGUGGUCGACCCUCCGUUAGGUGUGAUAAAUUAUCUGCAUCUGAUGGAAAGGUCAUGGCUGCCGUAUCUCAUUGGAGUUGAUAAACUUGACCUCAAAUCAGGUAGGACCACCCGCUGAACUUAAGCAUAUCAAUAAGCGGAGGAAAAAGAUACUAACCAGGGAUUCCCUUUAGUACUGCGAGUGAAAGUGGGGAAGAGCUCAAAUUUGUAAUCUGGCAGCCAAUUCGGGCCGUCCGAGUUGUAAUCUAAGGAAGUGCUACCUGGUGCUGGAACCAUGUACCAAGUUCUUCUGGAAUGGAAGCAUCAUUAGAAGGGUGAAGAAUUCCCGUCCUUUGACAAUGGAACUGCCCAGGGGCUCAAUAGGGGCCGCUCUUCAAGGAAGUCGAGUUGUUUGGGGAAUGCAAGCUUCAAAAAUGGGUGGGAAA